UCUCAGAGCAUGUUAAAUUUACAUAACAUUAUCACAAAUUAAAUAACAGCCAAAUUAAAACCUUUGCAAAUGAAGAUUAAACAUAUUUUUUUUUUUGCCUUUCAGAAAUGUUAUUGAAAAAAACUGGCAAGAGACAUGAAGUAUGUUUGUUCUUGUGCUUCGAUGGUGAUUAAUGAACUCCUUUUGGGAGAGGCAAGAUCUGUACUUGGCAUUAAUAUUAUAAACUUUUCUCAUCCCAGUAGCUUCUCUUUAGGUGGGGAAAGCAGUUACAUAAGGCAGCGAUUAAUGAGAUGCCACAAAUGUUGACUUAGUCCCAAAUAGGGAUUUUUUUUCCUCCCUCAAAUCUGAGUGCUUCACCCAAAUUAAUUUUAAGUCACACUACAAAUAUGAGUAAAGUGCCGACUCGAGUUGAAAAUACAUCAUAUGCUCAACCUGAGUCCAUAUGCUUUUCCCCCAAUUUCUUCCUGUUUUGCUAGAAAAAAAAAUCCUUGAACAGUUUGAGGUUCCAAGAAGGUGUUGCCAUUUCGUUUUCUCAAAAUCAUUGGCCAGAUUCUGUUCUUGGAUACUGCUUGAAUUUAAAUGGAAGAUGCAUAAAAUAUUUAAAUCUGGGAUCCCCAAAGCAUGGCAUUACAGUUUUUUGAAAUGGCAAAGUUUCUUCCUCUGGGAGUGAAAAGCUAUAAUGUUAGGCCUAUAAUGGUAGGUGGAGGUAGAGAAAUAUAUGUACACUUUCAUGUUUUGUUUAUCUAAUCAUGUUCACGUCCUCUAGACAAACUGAAAGAGUAAUUCUUACUCCCAAGAAGGAAAGCUCUGUCCUGAACUGAAGACAUCACACGAUUUUGUUGGGGCAUUUGAUAUAAGAGGUAGCUAUGAUCACAACGGUUAAUAUCUGGACAUCCAGAAGCACGUUCUGUGAACAGAUCAUAAGGGGCAACAUGCCAGGCAGGAAUCCAAAGUCAUUAUUCUACCUGCUUACAACCGACUUCUCCAAGAAAGUCUAUUUAUUAAACACCUAAUAUUUUCAUGAUGACAUAUAAGACUUGCCAAAUUAGAACUUGAAAGUGUAGAAUCUCCACACUGUUUUUGAAAUGAGAACAUAUCUACUGCAUACUUCAAAUAAAGUAGAAGUUGAAAUUUUCAUACUUAGAUGAAGAAUUACUAAAACUAAAGCUCUUUUAAAAUAAUAGGUCUAGUCUCACUCCCAGGAGCAGCAGAGUAAAUUAAGAUGAGGAGGAUUUGUAAAAUAAAGGGAGACACAUAUGUACAAAAGGAAAUAAGAACAACGGGAGGAGCUACUCUGAACUCAAAAGGCAGAGCCAUAGAAUAUUUUUCUUCCUACUUCUGAAAAUCCUUGGGGAAGUUAGGCUUAGUUUGUCAUAUUUUACCAAAAAAAACAAAACAAAACUGACUAUUUCAAUAUUAAGUAUUUAUAUUUGUUUAAAACGUAAUUUCCUAUAUAUACAGAACAUGUAUUGUGACAUGCUUUGCACAAGAUAACUUACAAUUUUAGCAAGCUAUGUGUAUAAUAAAGCACAAAACAAAAAGUACACAAUAUAAUUGUGGUUGUUAUGCAAUAACAAAAAAGAUAAAUUUAGACUGGGUGCAGUGGCUCACACCUGUAAUCCCAGCACGCCGCAAGGCCAAGGCGGGAGGAUUACAUGAGGCCAAGAGUUUGAGACCAGCCUGGUCAACAUGGUGAAACACUGCCUCUACUAAAAAUACAAAAACUUAGCUAGGCAUGGUGGCACACACCUGCAAUCUCAGCUACUUGGGUGGCUGAGGUACAAGAAUCGGUUGAACCUGGGAGGCAGAGGUUGCAGGGAGCCAAGAUCUUGCCACUGCACUCCAGCCUGGGCAACAGAGCAAGACUCUGUCUCAAAAAAAAAAAAAAAAAAAAAAAGAUAAAUUUAAAUUCUGUAAAAUCUUGUAAUGUAAAUCCUGAAAAACAUUUUAAUGUACAUUUGGAAUUAGUCACAGAAUUAAAAUCUAUUCCUUAAAUAAAAAUAAGUUAAAUAAGUUAUUACUUAAAAAUAAGUUAAAUGGCCAAAUGCUACAAAAAUUAAACAAUAAAAUUAUAAGUAGGUGUUUAAUAAGUCAGAGGAGGGAAAAUUUUCUAAGCAUAAAAGCAGUAAAACAGAUCAUAAAUAAAAUGUCUGUAACUUUGACUCCUGGUAAAUUUAAAACUUUAUAUAGAAACAAAUACACCAGAAAAAAAAUAUAAAAAUAUUUUCGAUAAAUGUAAGAUUGAUCUCUCUCACACACACACAUAUAUUCUUACAAGUAAUUUAGAAAAGCACCAAAUCUUGAAUAGAAAGAGGGAGUAAGCAUAAUAGAUAAUUCUCAGAAAAAAAUACACAUAGCCAAAAACAUUAAAAUAAUCUAUCUCACUAAAAAUCAAGGAAGUUCAUAUUAUGGUAUCAACUACUAUGAUAUGAUAGUAAGAUACUAUUAUUUUCCUAUCUAAUGACUUAUAGUGAAAAGAACAAUACAAGGUUGGUGGGCAUAAAAUAAGACAUAUUCUCAUACCCCAAUAAUAUGUGGGGACAUAAUUCAAUGUAACAUUUCUAAAAGGUAAAUUUGGCAACAUCUACAUCCAAAAUCUAGGAGUUCAUAUGCUUUGACCCAGAUAUUGUACCUCUAUGACGCCAUUGUUAAAUAAUAAUCAGCCAUAUGGAAAAGUAUGUUCAUGCACAGAUGUUCCUCAAAGCAUUUAUAAAAAUAAAAAUUAGAAAGACUAAUGUUCAACAAUAAAUUAUACUAAAA
rnacentral:lncRNA from 1 species